ACAGAUGCAAACUUCCUGGCAUUUUAGAAAUCUCUGUACUGCACUGAUAGCAAAAUCAAUUGUCCCUUGUUAGCAGAGGGCCUAAGCAAAUAAGAUAACACCAUCUAAUUACCGGUCUGCACCAUCUGUAACAACACCGAAACCUUUUUCUUCUGGAGGAGGAAUCUACUCAAGAGCAGUUAUUAAGUUUGGGAAAGCAGCAAUUGUACAUACAAGGAGUGGAAUGUAAUUUCACCGCCAGGAGAAUUUAUAUGUAAGAAGACGACAAAUCUCCCUACAUUCCCUGUCGAAGCAGCUCUGAUAGCUUUGGACCUUUAGCCAGUUUCUGAGCCCUCCACCUGACGGACAGUAGCACCGGCAA